UAGAGUGUGGGGAAAAGCAAGAGAGAUCAGAUUGUUACUGUGUCUGUGUAGAAAGAAGUAGACAUAGGAGACUCCAUUUUGUUCUGUACUAAGAAAAAUUCUUCUGCCUUGAGAUUCUGUUAAUCUAUGACCUUACCCCCAACCCCGUGCUCUCUGAAACAUGUGCUGUGUCAACUCAGAGUUGAAUGGAUUAAGGGCGGUGCAAGAUGUGCUUUGUUAAACAGAUGCUUGAAGGCAGCAUGCUCCUUAAGAGUCAUCACCACUCCCUAAUCUCAAGUACCCAGGGACACAAAAACUGCGGAAGGCCGCAGGGACCUCUGCCUAGGAAAGCCAGUCUCUCGUUCUACCUUACGAGAAACACCCACAGGUGUGGAGGGGCAACCCACCCCUACAUCUGGCGCCCAACGUGGGGCUAAGGGAUCUAUUCUAUUUAUUUGCGCUGACUGAAUUUUUUCUUCCACUAAUUUAAUUUCUUUUGUUGCCUCUGGGGUUAACAUUCUUUUACUAUUUAAGUCUGAGUUUCCUCUUAAGAUAGAGAACAAAUUUGACAUGGCAUAAGUAGGAAUGCCUAGAGUUGGCCGAAUCCAAUUAAUAUCUCCCAGCAAUUUUUGAAAAUCAUUUAGUGUUUUUAAUGUGUCUUUUCUUAUUUCUAUUUUUUGUGGCUUAAUUUUUCUAUUUUCUAUCUGCAUCCCUAAAUAAUGAAAAGGAGUAGAGGUUUGGAUCUUAUCAGAUGCUAUUGCCAGUCCUGCAUUGGCAACCUCUGCUUGCAGAAAUGUAUAACAGUCAAUUAAUUUAUCUCUCGUUUCUGUAGCACAUAAAAUAUCAUCAAUAUAAUGAAUAAUAUAACAGUCUGAAAACUUGUCUCUAACUGGUUGAAGAGCUCGACCUACAAAAGUCUGACAAAUAGUUGGACUAUUAAGCAUUCCCUGAGGUAACACUUUCCACUGAAACCUGGUGGCUGGUUCUUUAUUAUUUAUGGCUGGUAUAGUAAAGGCAAAUUUUUCGCAAUCCUGCUCCGCCAGAGGGAUGGUAAAAAAGCAAUCCUUUAGAUCAAUUAUAAUUAA
rnacentral:lncRNA from 1 species